rnacentral:rRNA from 1 species
UACGUAGGGGGCUAGCGUUGUCCGGAAUCAUUGGGCGUAAAGCGCGUGUAGGCGGCUCGGUAAGUCCGCUGUGAAAGUCGGGGGCUCAACCCUCGGAUGCCGGUGGAUACUGUCGGGCUAGAGUACGGAAGAGGCGAGUGGAAUUCCUGGUGUAGCGGUGAAAUGCGCAGAUAUCAGGAGGAACACCAAUGGCGAAGGCAGCUCGCUGGGACGUGACUGACGCUGAGACGCGAAAGCGUGGGGAGCAAACAGG